UUGAGGCAGUUUAGUAGAGUUGUCGCAAUGUAUAAAGAAUGAGCCACAAAACGAAAAGCUUCAAUUUUGUUCGCGCCUGUUUCACUGAAAUGCUCCGUUUUCACAAAACCCUCCUCCUUCAUUGAGACCGCAGCCCACCCCGCCGCACUGCGCACAUUGUUGACUACGCUCCUCUACAACAAAAGCUAUUGCGCUCCUCUACAACACAAGAGCUAUUCCACUCCUCUACAGCACAAAACCCUGGUCCUAGCUGUUCAGGAGAAUAGUGGACAAUUUCAGGGAAUUGGAGUCUACAAAUUCCCUACUGGAGUUGUUGAGCAGGAAGAGGAUAUUUUUGUAGUAGCAGUAAGAGAGGUCAAAGAAGAAACAGGGGUA